rnacentral:tRNA from 1 species
UAAAGUCAGCUAAUAAAGCUAUUGGGCCCAUACCCCAAAAAUGUUGGUUAUAAACCCGCCUCUACUA